rnacentral:rRNA from 1 species
UUGACCUCAAAUCAGGUAGGACUACCCGCUGAACUUAAGCAUAUCAAUAAGCGGAGGAAAAGAAACUAACGAGGAUUCCCCUAGUAACUGCGAGUGAAGCGGGAAAAGCUCAAAUUUAAAAUCUGGCGGUUCUUUGCCGUCCGAGUUGUAAUCUAGAGAAGUGUUACCUGUGCUGGACCGUGUACAAGUCUUCUGGAAUGGAGCAUCAUGGAGGGUGAGAAUCCCGUCUUUGACAUGGACUACCUGCACGUCAUGGUGCGCUCUCGAAGAGUCGAGUUGUUUGGGAAUGCAGCUCAAAAUGGGUGGUAAAUGCCAUCUAAAGCUAAAUAUUGGCGAGAGACCGAUAGCGAACAAGUACCGUGAGGGAAAGAUGAAAAGAACUUUGGAAAGAGAGUUAAACAGUACGUGAAAUUGCUGAAAGGGAAACGCUUGAAGUCAGUCGCGUCGACUAGAAAUCAGCCUUGCUUUUGCUUGGUGUAUUUUCUUGUUGACGGGUCAGCAUCAGUUUUGAUCRCUGGAUAAGGUCUUUGGGAAUGUGGCAUCCUUGGAUGUGUUAUAGCCCAUUGUCGCAUACGGUGAUUGGGAUUGAGGAACUCAGCAUGCCGCAAGGCCGGGUCUUUUUGAUCACGUCUCGUGCUUAGGAUGCUGGCAUAAUGGCUUUAAUCGACCCGUC